rnacentral:rRNA from 1 species
GGAGCAAACAGGAUUAGAUACCCUGGUAGUCCACGCCCUAAACGAUGAGUACUAAACGUUGGAUAAAACCAGUGUUGAAGUUAACACAUUAAGUACUCCGCCUGAGUAGUACGUACGCAAGUAUGAAACUUAAAGGAAUUGACGGGACUCCGCACAAGCGGUGGAUCAUGUUGUUUAAUUCGAAGGUACCCGAAAAACCUCACCAGGUCUUGACAUGCUUUUGCAAAGCUGUAGAAAUACAGUGGAGGUUAUCAGAAGCACAGGUGGUGCAUGGUUGUCGUCAGCUCGUGUCGUGAGAUGUUGGGUUAAGUCCCGCAACGAGCGCAACCCUUGUUGUUAAUUGCCAUCAUUAAGUUGGGGACUUUAGCAAGACUGCCAAUGAUAAAUUGGAGGAAGGUGGGGACGACGUCAAAUCAUCAUGCCCCUUAUGACCUGGGCUACAAACGUGAUACAAUGGCUGUUACAAAGGGUAGCUAAAGCGUAAGCUUCUGGCGAAUCUCAAAAAAGCAGUCUCAGUUCGGAUUGAAGUCUGCAACUCGACUUCAUGAAGUUGGAAUCGCUAGUAAUCGCGAAUCAGCAUGUCGCGGUGAAUACGUUCUCGGGGUUUGUACACACCGCCCGUCAAACCACGAAAGUUGGCAAUACCCAAAGCCGGUGGCCUAACUUGAGCAAUCAAGAAGGAGCCGUCUAAGGUAGGGUUGAUGAUUGGGGUUAAGUCGUAACAAGGUAUCCCUACCGGAAGGUGGGGAUGGAUCACCUCCUU